AACUGUUUGUUUUUACAUUUCCCCAAUUCAACAAUGGAAGCUCUUUCAGUUAUGUGUUCAAGUCUUCCUCGUACAAACAUGAAAUCAAAGUGCUCCAGUGAGAACUUAAGUCGAAAAAUGAAACACCCACAUCGUUCUUUGUCCCAUAAGUUACUCAGGCAUUUGAAACAACAAGCUGCAGAUCAUGCCUCCACUCACUUAAAUUUUUCUUCGCAAAUUAUAAAUUUAAGUAAGAAAAAGAUGCCUCAUGCUGCUGAGGAGCUUGCGUUGGAGAUGAUAUCUGAAGGACAUUUACUUGAUUAUUCUACUUUUUCAGCUCUUUUCUUAUGUUAUGCCAAAAAUGAUUUGCUCCCCCAAGCACAAGCCACUUGGGAUGAAAUUUUGUACAGUUCCUAUGUGCCAAAUAUCCAAAUGAUUUCUGCACUUGUUGACGCCUAUGGAAGAGCGGGACUUUUUAAUAAAGUGACUGAACUUUUGCAUCAAGUAAGUUACAAGAACCCUAAAUUGUUAUCUGAGACUUACGCACUUGCCAUAUCUUGCUUUGGGAAGGCAGGGCAGCUUAAUUUGAUGGAGAGUGCAAUGACAGACUUGAUUUCAAAGGGAUUCAAGGUAGAUUCUAAAACCGGAAAUGCAUUUAUUGUAUAUUAUAGCACAUAUGGUACUCUAACUGAGAUGGAGGAUGCUUAUGGUCGCCUUAAAAGGUCAAGAAUUCUCAUAGAGAAAGAAGGAAUACAGGCGAUCUCAUAUGCUUAUAUAAAGAAUAAUAAAUUCUAUAAUUUAGGUGAGUUUAUAAGGGAUGUAGGUCUUGGUAGGCGAAACGUUGGAAAUCUUCUUUGGAACCUUUUGCUACUGUCUUAUGCAGCCAAUUUCAAAAUGAAGAGCUUGCAAAGAGAGUUCUCGAGAAUGAUUGAAUCUGGUUUUUGUCCUGAUCUUACUACAUUUAACAUCCGAGCUUUGGCUUUCUCAAAAAUGUCUUUGUUUUGGGAUCUUCAUGUAACCCUUAAGCACAUGAAACAUUAUGCAGUUGUUCCUGAUCUUGUAACUUAUGGUUCCGUAGUUGAUGCAUAUAUGGAUAGAAGACUCGGAAGGAAUUUGGAAUUUGCCUUGAGCAAUAUGAGAACUGAAGAUGCUCCUGUUGUAUCAACAGAUAAGAUUGUAUUUGAAGUUUUAGGGAAAGGAGACUUUCACUCAAGCUCCGAAGUCCUUUUGGAGUUUAACAUGGACAAAUAUUGGACCUACAAAGGGUUGAUAAAAAGAUAUCUAAAAAGACAACACCGAAGUAAUCAAGUAUUUUGGAAUUACUAAUAGGUGGCAUUUUUUGAUGCAUCUAAGCUACUUAUAGUAGUUGUAUGAGAAUAUAGCAGUACUGUCAGUUCCAUGUAAAUAUGCUAUAGCGGCUGAAGUUACAGAAGUUGGUGUCGUAGGUUUUUAAUUAUUGACCAAGGACAUUUCAUCGUCCAUGUUCCAGAUGUUUUGAUCUUCUUAAAGUCUCUUUGGAACUGAGGGGAAUCAGAAGCUCCUGACUUUUUGAUUUUGAUCAGUAAAGGGGAAGGCAUUAAAACUACAGUUUAACUGGCUUGUGGGUAGUGUGUCCUACAUUUCUAUUCUUUCUUUGGAUUCUCUUUAAACUUAUAAGAUGGUUCACCAGGGGUUCAGUACUUCGGCUUGAGUUUUCAUUUGCACAAAGCCUGCAUAGACAAGUGUGUCGGGUUCAGACCCAGGAAAGAAUUUGAAUUAUAUCAUAUCAAAACUGUCCGGCAAAAAGGAUGAUGAUGGCAACAAAUAUUGACGCCAGUGCCUCUGCUACAAAUUAUUACACUGAGGACAAUGGUUUAAACUGGUAAUUCUUCCAGAAAAGGACCUCGAGGCAAGCCUCUCAGAAUUCAUUACUGCCUGGAUGGACAGUUCUGGUUAAUCUGAUUGUGCAUCCAAUUAAACACAAUUUAGUUACAUAUCAGGGACCAGGACAAUGUAAUUGCAUCAGGUGUGGUGAAUCUUUUAGGGAUGGGGGCAUGCAAUCAAUCGACAGAUACUUAGAAAGCUAUUUUAUAUGCUGCAUCAAUCUGUAUUAGUCCAGUCACCCUAUCCAAAGCCUCUGCUUCGAAUGCUUCACACAGUUUAUCGGCUGGCUUUGAGAAGGAUUUCAGAUUCUAUCGAGCUGAAAUGAAGAGAAGUAUCAAUACUGUGGUUUAAGAGGGUCAUGACUCUCAAGUCCUUUUUGAUUUUGUUAACAAAUUUCUUGUUCUGUGAUGAUAUAUAUGUUUAAAAUAUGUAGUACUAUUUUAGAACAGAACAGAGAGUUAUCCGUUCUUAUACAAAAUAUGUAUUGUUGUAAUGUAGCAUCAGAAAAUGUUUAUCGGUGCUAUAUUAAAAGUUGGAUUCCAAUUCUAGUUCCAUAAGUGGUUUUGAAUUAAUUAUAUUUUUUCACUUUUA